UUGAACGCUGGCGGCUGCUUAACACAUGCAAGUCGAACGGAGUGGCGAACGGGUGAGUAACGCGUGAGCAACCUGCCUAUGACAGUGGGAUAGCCUCGGGAAACCGGGAUUAAUACCGCAUAGUCAUAGAUGGGCUCGCGUCUGAUUGGCUAGUUGGUGAGAUAACAGCCCACCAAGGCGACGAUCAGUAGCCGGUCUGGGAGGAUGAACGGACACAUUGGAACUGAGACACAGUCCAAACUCCUACGGGAGGCAGCAGUGGGGAAUAUUGCACAAUGGGGGAAACGCUGAUGCAGCGACGCCGCGUGAACGAAGAAGGUAGUCGUAUCGUAAAGUUCUGUCCUAUGGGAAGCAGUACCAGAGAAGAAAGCUCCGGCUAAAUACGUGCCAGCAGCCGCGGUAAUUC
rnacentral:rRNA from 1 species